AACGAACGCUGGCGGCAGGCUUAACACAUGCAAGUCGAACGGAUCCUUCGGGAUUAGUGGCGCACGGGUGAGUAACGCGUGGGAAUGUACCCCUUGGUAAGGAAUAAUAUCUGGAAACGGAUACUAAUACCUUAUAAUGACUUUGGUCCAAAGAUUUAUCGCCAAGGUAUCAGCCCGCGUCUGAUUAGGUAGUUGGUGAGGUAACGGCUCACCAAGCCGACGAUCAGUAGCUGGUCUGAGAGGAUGAUCAGCCACACUGGGACUGAUACACGGCCCAGACUCCUACGGGAGGCAGCAGUGAGGAAUAUUGGACAAUGGGGGAAGCCCUGAUCCAGCCAUGCCGCGUGAGUGAAGAAGGCCUUAGGGUUGUAAAGCUCUUUCAAUGGUGAAGAUAAUGACGGUAGCCAUAGAAGAAGCCCCGGCUAAAUUCGUGCCAGCCGCCGCGGUAA
rnacentral:rRNA from 1 species